rnacentral:sRNA from 1 species
GAAAAAAAUAAUAAAAAUUGGUUCCUGAUAUUCUGAUUUUCUUUUCUUUUGCUUUCUUCUGAGAACUUUUAAGUUGCCUUCCCGUUGGAGAGGCCCUAUUUGGCGAUGAGUCUAAUCGGAGGUGAAAUCACUGAGGCUUCCUGUUUUUCUGACAUUCUUGCAUGGAAUCUAAGCCAGCGUCACUUGUGGAAGCUUUCCAUACCCGGUACUUCUUCGUUUCUUCCUGAUUUCCUGAUUUCCUUCCUGGUUUCUUGGUUCUCGGUCCAAUACUCUUUAUUUUAUGGAGAACACUCUGCUCCUCGCUCUUCAGCAAUUACUUCCAGUCCUCCAACUCGCAUCUAUUUUCCACCUGGCUCUGCAACUACUUGGCCGAUUGCUCCUUCCCUGUUCACUGCUGACAUAUCUAUUAUUAUAAUUUUUAUUAUUUUAGCUCUGGCCUCUUAAGCUCCCGCUCCAUUUCUUCCUUAUCUUGCAGAACGUUCUCCUGAUUUCCUCCUAUUUAUUUUCCUUCUAAUCCUUACAUUCCUUGGCCCAAUCUGAGCCAGCGUCACCUGUGGACACCUUUCUUCUGGUUAUCUCCUUAGUUCUGAUUCCUUUUCUGAUUCUCGUGUGUAUCCUCCUUUCUUAAUUAUUAUUUUGAUUUCAAAGUGCAGUUCUUACCUUCUUCAAUGCAUUCAGUGUUUGGUCCUUCUCUCCAAAUCCUUCCAAAAACGGAUUAUUCUACUUCUGCUCUCCUGGGUUUUUAAUGGGCUUGUUGCCCAUUUUUUUUUUUGUGAUCUGGAUGCCGAUCUCCUUUGCUUCUAUAACUAUUACUACUAUUCCUAUUACUACUACUCUAUUACUGGCCUAUUUUUCCAUAUUUUCCAGAGCAGAUAAUUCUUCUUUCCUCCUUUGGUUCCUAUAACCCUUCCAUCAGUGGACUCUACCCUAGGAGUUUUCAAUAGCUCCCUUGAUUUCUCAUUAUCCUUUGUUCCUGUCUCUCCUGCAUCUACUGAUGGUGUUCUCCUCCUCCUUUCAUUUCUUCCGUAAUUAUGAACUCUGUACCAGUUUUUAAAUUCUACAGAUCUCCGAAGUACUCCACAGUUCCAAAAAUCAAGUCUUGGAUCCUCUGGAACUUUGGUUCUUCUUUCCAUCAUGGGUUCUCUUAUCUUUUUAUUAUUUCAAAAUUGAACAGAACAGCCCUGGUUCUCGACUUCAUUAGUGUUGGCCUCCGUUUUCCUUCUUUGGUUCCUGUUUCUGGCCUUAUUCCAUUCAAGAGCUCUAGUCGAUGAUUCUGAUUUCUUCUGAUUUAUUUUAUUAUCCCGCCCUGGGUUCUGCUACUUUCUGCUUUGGUUCCUCUCCCUCUGGUCCUGGUCUUUAAAUUAAAAAUUCUUAAAUU